AUUGAACGCUGGCGGCAUGCCUUACACAUGCAAGUCGAACGGUAACAGGUCUUCGGAUGCCGACGAGUGGCGAACGGGUGAGUAAUACAUCGGAACGUGCCUAGUAGUGGGGGAUAACUACUCGAAAGAGUGGCUAAUACCGCAUGAGAUCUACGGAUGAAAGCAGGGGACCGCAAGACCUUGUGCUACUAGAGCGGCCGAUGGCAGAUUAGGUAGUUGGUGGGAUAAAAGCUUACCAAGCCGACGAUCUGUAGCUGGUCUGAGAGGACGAUCCGCCAGACUGGGACUGAGACACGGCCCAGACUCCUACGGGAGGCAGCAGUGGGGAAUUUUGGACAAUGGGCGCAAGCCUGAUCCAGCAAUGCCGCGUGCAGGAUGAAGGCCUUCGGGUUGUAAACUGCUUUUGUACGGAACGAAAAGCCCUGGGUUAAUACCCUGGGGUCAUGACAGUACCGUAAGAAUAAGCACCGGCUAACUACGUGCCAGCCGCCGCCGUAA
rnacentral:rRNA from 1 species